UACGUAGGGUGCGAGCGUUAAUCGGAAUUACUGGGCGUAAAGCGUGCGCAGGCGGUUAUUUAAGACAGAUGUGAAAUCCCCGGGCUUAACCUGGGAACUGCGUUUGUGACUGGAUAGCUGGAGUAUGGCAGAGGGGGGUGGAAUUCCACGUGUAGCAGUGAAAUGCGUAGAGAUGUGGAGGAACACCGAUGGCGAAGGCAGCCCCCUGGGCCAAUACUGACGCUCAUGCACGAAAGCGUGGGGAGCAAAC
rnacentral:rRNA from 1 species